UUGUAUUGCUAGCUUUGUGGGUAACAUUUGUCCUUUUGUAUAACCUUUAUAUCACCCUUAUUGUUAUCUAGAAUACCAUCUUGCUCAAGAGGACUCAAAGGAUUCUGAAUCUAUUACCCCUGUGCACAGGUGCAUUCCUACCAUCAGUUGUUUGCCAGACCUGGCUGAGAUUGCAGACCACUCCAGCAUAUCCUGUUCACCAGCCUAUCACCAAGAAUGGGUGGAGUCAGCUGAAGGCCCGCCCAUCCCUCUCAGCAGAGGACAUUCACACUGUAACAGCACCCCACGCAGCCCAAAAGGCCAUAGGACACACAUUCAAUAUGUGCAGGUUGGCACUGAACCCCUCCCUCACCUCCAGAGUCUGUUGGACUCAUCACCAUGGGGCAGUGCUCCAUCCCAUACUGUCUGCACAGAGAGUUACGCCACAGCCAGCACAGGAGACAGCAGCACUGUCAGUCAAUGAAUCAUUAUAUUUGGAAUAAUAGAUUUCUACAAUCGUAUCAGUAUCAGCCAAUAAAUAUGACUUUUUAUGUUUUACGUAUCAGUCCAACAAGUUAUAUAUAACAGAUAUAUUUAAGCUGACAAUCUAUGCUCAAAUGAACACCCCAGAUUAUUUAUACCAGUUGCCCU
rnacentral:lncRNA from 1 species